CCGCCCGGGAGAGGAAGUCGGGGGCUAGAAGAUGGGCGGCCCUCACAAAACCUGACUGCUGUUUGCCUCUACUCAGGUUCAGUCAGUACUCAGAGGAUGUGGGCCCUUUAAAAAAAAGCAGCAGUGUUUGUUUGGCAGUUGCCCUUAUAUCAAAAGUGAAAAAACUAUUUCCUGCCUGUCCUGCUUCCCCAUUUCAUCAGCACCCAAGCCAAGGAACGGACCGGCCCGCCACCGCCAAGUGUUCGAGUGACAAAGAGGAGUAGAACGGGGAAAUGGUAGCUCCAGUUUCUGUGGCAGCGGGAACAUCUUAUCUGGGAGCCAAAAUGACCAUGAGUAAAGCUGGCUUGGAACUCACUGCAUGGGCAAUUGGUACCUCUGCUACAAUCACUUUGGGGAUCGUGAUCGUGGCAGUUGUAGCCGUUGCUUUCACAAGAAUUUGAAGACUGAUUGCACAAGAGCUCCUAAGAAUAUGAACUGACUACACAUCUCAGGUAUCCAUCCUCUCAGCAGAUAUGGACCUUGCCGCCUUGGCAGGCAUCAAUGACGGUGAAGCCUGCAGCUCCCUGAAACCAGGUCCUUAUAGGGAGGCAAAUAAAGAAAUAAACAAAUAAACAAAUAAAUCUCUGA